AGCUCAGCGGCAUAAGCGCCUGCCUUGCAAGCAGGCAGUCAUGAGUUCGAUCCCCAU
rfam:Cavia porcellus supercont2_715 genomic scaffold, whole genome shotgun sequence.